UACGGGGGGGGGCAAGCGUUGUUCGGAAUUACUGGGCGUAAAGGGCUCGUAGGCGGCCAACUAAGUCAGACGUGAAAUCCCUCGGCUUAACCGGGGAACUGCGUCUGAUACUGGAUGGCUCGAGAUUGGGAGAGGGAUGCGGAAUUCCAGGUGUAGCGGUGAAAUGCGUAGAUAUCUGGAGGAACACCGGUGGCGAAGGCGGCAUCCUGGACCAACACUGACGCUGAGGAGCGAAAGCCAGGGGAGCAAACAAGG
rnacentral:rRNA from 1 species